GAUCUUUGUAUAGGGUGCAGCCGAACGUAGGAGAUUGUAUCUAGAAACAAUUAGGGUGUCCUUAAACCUCAUAUAUAAACCCCCUUAGAGACGAGUCCCCCAACCCCUAACUCUCGCUUCUCAAUCAAAUUCAAAAUCAAAACUCAAAGGAAACUACAUGGCUCUACCAAAUCAGCAGACCGUUGAUUAUCCAAGCUUCAAGCUUGUUAUCGUCGGCGAUGGUGGAACUGG